rnacentral:rRNA from 1 species
AGUAGUUUGAUCCGUGGCUCGAGGACGAACGCUGGCGGCGUGCUUAACACAUGCAAGUCGAACGGGGCGAUUGAAAGCUUGCUUUUAUGAGCCUAGUGGCAAACGGGUGAGUAACGCGUGGGCAACCUGCCGGAAAGAUGGGGACAACAUCCCGAAAGGGGUGCUAAUACCGAAUGUUGUAUGAGAGGCGCAUGCUUCUUGUAUUAAAGGAUUUUAUCCGCUUUCCGAUGGGCCCGCGUCCGAUUAGCUAGUUGGGGGGGUAGAGGCCCACCAAGGCGACGAUCGGUAGCCGGCCUGAGAGGGUGAACGGCCACAUUGGGACUGAGACACAGCCCAGACUCC